AGGAGAGGAGAAGAAAAGAGGCAUUCAAAAAUCAGGAAUUUGGAGGUCGGAGAGCUAGCUUUAAGCCCCUUCGAAAGGCAUAGAAUUGGAUUCAUAGGAGUUGGGAGGACUUUGGCAGUCGUUGCUAAAAGUCAGUGUUUGUAUUGGUGAAUUGGGUUUUUUUUUUGCAAUAAAAUUAAGGCUGAUACUCUUGACUGUUUUGUGAAAUUGGAAAAACUUCUAUGGUUGAAAUUUAGAGGAGUCUAGAGGGUUGAGUUUGUCGAGUGCAUGCAAAAAGUUGUGUUAAUCUGACGAAACAGAUAGAGGAUAUUUGACCUUUAAUGUAAAGAAGUAUCGAAAGUUAGCAGAUUGAGGUUGUUUAGGGUUUUUAUAAUAUCUGGAGACCUAUUGGCUGGAAUAAGGUGACUUUUGGCGUGAUAAGUCAAGGACUUUUAGGUGGCGGUCAAGAUACAUCAGUGUGGAUUAAUGGCGUUUUCUUGCAACUUGUAAGUUAGAUUAGAUUGAAACUUCUUGAGUAUUUGGAAGGCUUGCAAAGACACUAGUGGUAGAAGUUUACAACCAUCGGAUGAUCAUAUUGAGAAUUAUAGCUUGUCGAAGCUCAUUGUCUAGGA
rnacentral:lncRNA from 1 species